CCUAGAGGGCGCCCUGGUACGGCUGAGUAGUUAGACCUAUCUCGAAGGAACGCGCAGUUUUGUUUUAAAAAAACGCGUGAGCUGAGGCACGUUAGAAACUAACACCAAUCUACAUUGUUCGUUUACGCGAAAGUGAAAACCCCCAAUUUGGUGUUCGGUUUGUUGAGUGGUUGGAGUAGUGAUUCAUCGCCAGAAAACUUUGUUUCUCCCGAGUGCUAGAGAUUUCUGUGUGAGACGAGCAUAUACCUUCCACAGUGACGACGAUUGAGCAGGGGAGAACGAAGAGACGUUAGUGCACGUGAGAUGACCGUGGGGCGGGCUUUCUAGUGAGCUGUAUCGCUUCACAGAUUCCCACCUUCACAUGUAAAGGUUCUGCUGAGUGUGAUAUCCUUGGUGAGACACCCAGCUGUCCAAAAGCAUUGGAGCCGCACACCAAGACCUGACCGUCACCUGACAGACACAGUUAUUCAGCACUGAAUUCAACGAGAGGAAGUCUCAACAGGGAGGUCUAAGUGCACUUUAUCAACUCAAAGUUCUAAUAAAAACCUCAAUAUUACUGAUGUCUGCAAUAUCGGCAUGCUCGUUUAUUUUUCCAGGAUAUGAAUACGAGUAUGGCAUUGACGACCCAACCACUCACCUGUCAGGAUAAUAGAGAAGUCCCAACCGCAGGACACCUGCUGAACUCUUCCCCACCCAGACAAAGGGCAGGGUUGAAAGGUUAUGACCUCUGAAGUGUGACUGAGCCCUAACUGACCUUUGUUGUUGUGUCCACACAUCAGCAGGUCACCUGACUCUGGAUGGAGAAAUGUUGUUGUCAUACUUCAAAGUGUCCACUAGAGUGCGCCAUUGAUCCAUAAAUAUAUAAUGUCAAUGUCAGCAAAUACUGAAACAGUUAAAGGAUUAUUUUACUAAUUCGAACGACGUGUCCUUUCAGAGUGUUAGCAUUAAUAUCUAUUAUUUUUAAUAGUGUUAUAGGCCAGCUAACCAGUGAUGACAGCCGAAUGCCCGCCUCCUCCGGUUAUGCAGCGGACCUGCUCUGCCUGCAGUCCGCCGUGUGCACGCCGCGGCUCGGCUUGAUCUUCCGUGUGUCCCUGCCCCAGCUGCCCGGAACUGUUCGCUCCCUGUGAUACAAAAUCACGAUUUAUUGCUCAGGAAGCGCUGUUUUUGUGAGCUAUACUUAUUUGAGACUGCUUAUUUUAAUUUAUACUGUUACAUGUUCGCUGUAUUCUCGUGGAUUUAAGGAUGUAGACUGGUACCAAUACUUGUUUGUAAGCUUUGCGUUGUCAAAAGUAGGCUAAAUAAAACUUACCCACGUGUAAAGUA